CGCGUAGGCGGACUGUUAAGUCGGGGGUGAAAUCCCGGGGCUCAACCCCGGAACUGCCCCCGAUACUGGCAGCCUGGAGGUCGAGAGAGGUGAAUGGAAUGCCGAGUGUAGAGGUGAAAUUCGUAGAUAUUCGGCGGAACACCAGUGGCGAAGGCGGCUCACUGGCUCGAACCUGACGCUGAGGCGCGAAAGCGUGGGGAGCAAACA
rnacentral:rRNA from 1 species